GGCGCCCGCGGCGAGCGGGAAGGAGGCGUGUGCCUGCGGCGCGGCCCCGAGGCGUGUGCGCGGCCAUGUGCGCUUAGCGCAGCGCGCUCUUACCUCAGUACCCCGGCCGCGACCCUCCGAGCCCCUGGAGCCCGGGUAACCAGGCCGCCGGCGCCGGCUCGCGGGGACCCGCCACCCUGGAAGCCCCGCGCACACAGCGCAUUCCUGGCGAGUCGGAGGCAGGGUGGGGCCCAGGUGUGGGAAGGAGCCGAGGCUGAGGCCGUUCCCUUCUCCGCGGGCUCUGUGGGCGGCCGAGGCCCCCACCCGUCCCGGGAACCAGUUCCUCCCGGGCCCUGCGCGUCCGUCCGGGGAAGGGUAAAGUGAACAGAGUUAUCUGUGACAUUCCAUCAGGCACCUAUGUAACGAAAUCAUACCGUAAUAACUCACCAUGGCGUAUGGAGUGCCAAGAAAGAACACAGUGAAAACCAUUUUGCGGGGCAGUUGUUAUAAUGUACAGGAACCUUGGGAUAUUGCAUUGCUUGCAAAGACCUGGUCCACAAACCUAGCCAAUAUCAAGUUGCCUUUCUUGGAAGAAAUUUCAUUUGGUGGUUCUGUGCAGCUCACAAAAUGUACCACCAUUAAAGAUGGACUGCUCCCUUCUGCAGAAUCUAUCAAACUCGAAAGGGAGUAUGAAGUGAAGCGUCUUUGUAAACUGAAGUGUCAAGAAAAUACAUCUAAGGAAAUUCAGCUUCUCCUGAGGGAAAGGCCAGCCGGUUUGAGAAGACCU
rnacentral:lncRNA from 1 species